rnacentral:sRNA from 1 species
AGCGGAGGAAAAAAAAA